rnacentral:rRNA from 1 species
CCUGGUAGCGGGGGAUAACUAUUGGAAACGAUAGCUAAUACCGCAUAACAGUAGAUGUUGCAUGACAUCUGCUUGAAAGGUGCAAUUGCAUCACUACCAGAUGGACCUGCGUUGUAUUAGCUAGUUGGUGAGGUAACGGCUCACCAAGGCGACGAUACAUAGCCGACCUGAGAGGGUGAUCGGCCACACUGGGACUGAGACACGGCCCAG